GGAAAUAUAGCUCAAUUGGUAGAGCACCUGCCCCACAAGCACAAGGCCCUGGGUUCAAUCCUCAGCACCA
rnacentral:tRNA from 1 species